GACGAACGCUGGCGGCGUGCUUAACACAUGCAAGUCGAACGAGAAAGCCCUUCGGGGUAAGUACAGUGGCGAACGGGUGAGUAACACGUGGGCAACCUGCCCCAGAGAGCGGGACAACCCGGGGAAACCCGGGCUAAUACCGCAUGAUGCGUCUCCACUUAAGUGGAGCCGCCAAAUGGUAGCCUCGGCCUCCGCUCUGGGAUGGGCCCGCGCCGGAUUAGCUAGUUGGUGGGGGUAACGGCCCACCAAGGCGACGAUCCGUAGCUGGUCUGAGAGGACGAUCAGCCACACUGGGACUGAGACACGGCCCAGACUCCUACGGGAGGCAGCAGUGGGGAAUCUUGCGCAAUGGGCGAAAGCCUGACGCAGCAACGCCGCGUGGGGGAAGAAGGCCUUCGGGUUGUAAACCUCUUUCAGUAGGGACGAAGCUUCCGGGGUUAAUAGCCUACGGGGUGACGGUACCUACAGAAGAAGCCCCGGCUAACUACGUGCCAGCCGCCGCCGUAC
rnacentral:rRNA from 1 species